UCUGCGGUUGCCAGGCGGAGGGUCUGCAGCUCUCAGCCAGGUGUCUAACCUCAAGACUCACUGCUCUGCACUUCUGCUUCCACUUAACAUGAAGUAAUAGGGACUGGAUUUACCCUCCCACUGGCAAUAACUAAACACAGGACAAAAUAUGUGAAAACAACCAACCAACCCAGUUUUCAAGAUAAUGGCCCAGCGGCAGUGCACAAGAGUGGUCUCUGAGCGGGACACAUGGAAGGAGCCUGCAGCUCCCUGGAUCGCUGCCUGGAGGGCUUCCAGAGACGCGGCUACUUGCGUGGAGACCCUUUGCGGAGACACUUUUUGGUGAACAGCAACAUGCUUUCUUAUUUUUCUGAUGCUGAGUGUUGUUUUCUUCCAUGUCUGAAAGGAGGCAGGGAUGACUGGGCCCUGUUUUUUCUGGAGUCCAGGUUGGACGGAGUCAUUUGCCUUCGUUCUGGAAGGUGUUUGGCAAACCAGCAACCAUGCUGUGGCCUGCCACUGGCAUCGGUGGCACCCGAAGACCUCCAGCACCCUCUUCCCUGUUGGAUAGCUCCCAUGGUAUAAGCCCUGCCUUCCAGCGUGGAGCCGCAAAGCCCUCCAUUUCACAGCCUUCUUUGAGUUUAAGGUGCAAACCUGACUUAGGGUCUAGUUGUAAUCACCCGCUCAGCGUCUUCAGUGCGAACAGCUGCCAGGGAUGGGCCGGUGACUGGGCUGUGGUCUCUGGUUCGGGGCGUUCCCAAGAGGCUACACCUUGCCAGGUCAAUUCUGCGCUGUGGUGCUGGGGGCCUCUUCAGCACCCAGUGAUUUUGUUGCUCUCUUUAUCCUGUAAUAAGCUGAUUACUCCUUCAGCUAGCUAGAGGGGAUUCUCUUGUCUGUAACUAGAAAUAUGGACCAUUGCUUUUUGCUGUGAGGAAGAAAAAGCCCCAACUCAACAGGCCUGAACAGGUCAUGAGGCCCAGAGGGGUGGCCCAGGGCUGGUGAUGCAGCAGUUGACCAUCAUUGUCAUGAGCUACUUCCUUCCGUCUUUCCUCUCCAGGCUCACCCCCGUGGUCCCCUUUGCAGCCCAGUACUACAUUUCCCCAUCUCUGGUCUUCUGGCAUCCCUUCUUUUCUCUCUCGUUCCUAGCAGGUCAUCGAGAGGGGCUCGAAUGUUGGCCAGGGAUGAAAUCCAUGUGGCCAGGAGACACGGCCCACUCACAGGAGCCGGUCUCCUUGGAAGCAGAGCCUCCUCUUCCUAGUUCUGAGUGUUAGAACCUGCCAGGUUCUCCUGUUUUAUCACAUGCCAAUACUCCCACUUUGGCUGUGAGUGGCAGACCCCCUCCUCCUCCAUUGUCACAUUUGGACCCUCAGAGGCUGCUUUUGCUGGUAUCUCCUUGACCUGCUUUGCAGGUUUCUGCCAUUGAGGUUUGACACCACUCAGAGUAUUUCUCUUGGUCAUGUGUGUGUUUUCCAGCUUUGGCCAAGGCCACUCAGAGGCCUGACCCCUAGGGUCAGGUGCCUCACUUAUCAGAGCCGCAGGUGCUUGCUAAGUCUCAUAUCUUGGAGAGCUCUCUGGUCACCCUUCCUAAAUUUUGUGCCCAACUCUGUGGAUGGAUUCGUAAGAAAUCAUGAUGAAAUCUUCUGACUGCUUUGAGGCUUUUCUGUUCUGCUUCUCCCAAGUACUGUGUGACCUAUCAUUAAACGGUCCCUGCCUCUGCUCAGAUGUCACUUUCUCAACAGCUAACCCUCCUUGACAGCCAAAGGUGGCAAAGCCCUGUCCACCCCUUUGACCGUUCUAUGCCAAAUUAGUCUAACUCCCUCCCUGUCCUGACUGGCACUCCUGAGUCUUCUUACUGUAUUCCUGCUUUCUCAUAGCACUUAGCAUAUUUCACUCUGUUAUGUAAGUUACAUUUUAAGCUAAUGAUCUCUCUCCCUCUUCUAGAAUAUAACCUUCUCACUGGCAAGCAUCUUUAUCUUUUUUUCUCAUGAGGUAUCCUAAUUUCCUAGAACACUAUCUGGCACAUGGUAGGUGCUCAAUAAACAGUGAAUAAAUGAGUGAAUGAAUUCUCAGCUUUUUCACCAGAAAAAGAAUAAUCAAUUUUUUCAGAAAGUGGUAGUCUGGAUAGGAAUAUUUUCUUUUGAUCUAUAGAGAAGUACAGAUGAGGGCUUUAAAAUUUUUGUUUUUAUUUCUUUUUUAUUGCUAUAAAACAUACAUCCUGAAAGGUACACAAGUCACAAGGGCACAGGGGACUAGCCCACUGGUUUGUGUUUUUCAUGUGUGUUUAAUCACUGUUGACCUGGGAGGAGUGGUCAGAGAAGGGUCCUCUGAGGCUGUUCUGCAGAAUCCCUGGACACUUGCUGGUCUCUGUCAUUUGGCUUCAGUGUCCUCAGCCUGGGUGACCCAAUCCUGUGGGUGCCUCCACCUCUCUGGUCACUUCUCUCUAGUCCCUUUGCCUCCCUGACCCAGACACUGAAUGUCCUUGGGUCUAGUCUACUUUACUUCUGGCUGUAUUCUCUUUAAAUCCAAUUCCAUUCUUCCCCACAUCUCUGCUGAUCAUUUAUCAUCCACACUUGAUUGUAGGACACUUGAUUGUAGAGGUGUGGCUGCCUCCUUGGUGGCCUCCUGCCUCUUAGGCUCCACAUAGUCAGACUGUGCUCAAACCACUCCUUCUGCCCCGCAUUGCUGGCUGGCCCUCCGCAGGUGGCAAAGUCCUGUCCACCCCUUUGACAUUUGCUAUGUGAUCUCAUCCGUGGCCAGUAGGUGGCACACGUUGCACACCGCUGCGGGGUUUGCCUCAUUCAGCCUUUCUCAGGAGGGAAAGAUAGUUUCUGCCCCAGCCUGGGCUUUAUGGCAAUGUGUAAUCCCGUGGAAUGGAACAUGCAAUAACUACUGGUGUUGCUGUAAACACACAUGCUAAGAGCAGCUGCCACUUGGGGAUGAGGACAGAGGGAACACUCAGAGGUCUGCUGAGGACAGUCUAUAAAAGGAAAACUCUGUGGGUUUUUAAUUUAAGAGCCUUCCAGUUAACCUUUGUGACUCAUUGACAGAAAAUUUUAGAACCCAGAAGAACAAUGAUAAUACAUUUUGCGGAUUGUAAUCUGGUCCGGGGUCCACCCUGCCCCCUUAGCCUCCCCAUUUCAUCAGGUUUCAGAAGGAGACAAGAACCCCUCACACAGGACAGGCAAGCCCACCUCCCAGCCACCUGCAGGGCCAGGCUGCCCGCAGAGCCAGCACCUUCUGAACCAAUGUUGACUUCUUUUCCUGUUCCUCGGGCCUGGCAAGUUGUCCACUUCUUGCGUUUGUCCUUUCUCUGGAGGAGAGUUGAUUUAAAUCUCAUUCUGCCAUUAACAAAAUUGGCACCUGAUGGGUAUGAAGCUGAGGAGGAAAAUGUCCCAGCAAAACAAAACACAAAAUGGAAUCUGGCCAACACGGAGCAAUAAGGAUUGGGUGCUUUUAGUUUUAAUAUGUGUGGACAUUUGAAAACAAUUUUGGUAAAAUGCCCUUAACCAUAAAAUUUACCAACUUAAUCAUUUUCCGUUCAGUGGUAUUUAAUAUAUUGAUACUGCUGUGCAACCAUCACCACCACCCAUCUCCGGGUUUCCUCCUGUAAAACUGAAACUCUGUACCCAUUAAGCACUGACUCCCUGGUCCUCAAUCCCUGGCAGCCACCAUUUGACUCUCUGACUAUGAAUUUGACUCGGCUACGUGCCUCAUAUAAAUGGAGUCAUAUGGUAUUUUUCCUUUCAUGUCUGACUUAUUUCACUUAGCACCAUGUCCUUAAGGUUCAUUGGUGCUGUAGCAGAUGUCAGGAUUUCCUUCCCUUUUAAGGCUGAGUGAUACGCCAUCGCAUGCGCAGACCUCAUUUUGGUUAUCCAUUCACCCAUCCAUGGACACUUGGGUUGUUUUCAUGCUUUAGUUGCUGUGAAUCGUGCUGCUGUGAACACGGGUGUACGAAUACCUCUUUGAAACUUACUUUAAAUUCUUUUGGGCAUAUGCCCAGAAGUGGAAUUGCUGAAUCCUGUAGUCAUUCUAGAUUUAAUUUCUUCAGGAACUGCUAUAUUGUUUUCCAUAGUGGCUACAUCAUUUUACGGUCCCAUCAACAGUGCACAAGGGUUCCAAUUUUUCCACAUCCUUGCCAACACUUGUUAUUUCUGUGUGUGUGUAUAUUUUGGAGGGGGUACAGUAACCAUCCUGAUGGACAUGAAAUGGUGUGUAGACAUGUAAGUUUGUUUUUUCUGGGCUAGGUAACCUGCUGUUUUUUUAUGACCAUGGUGUCUCCCCUUCCCCCGUCAGAGCCUCCACCCACAGAGCCCUUGUGUGUGUGGAUAUCCACCCCAGGGACCCACUGAAAGGAGCUUCAUUUGGAUCAAUGUUAAGUCAUUGGAAUUUCCUGAGGGAUCAUCAGGCCACUGCUGAAGAGAGCACAGCUUCGGACCUCUGAGGGCAGGAGCAAGGCAGGUUGAUUUGUUACCCGCCCUGUGUUGCCCUCUUGGCCCACAGGUGGCAGGUCCCAGGAGUCCCUCACUGAUGGCCUGGGAGGUUAGGAAGCUUCAAGUCCUCAAUGUGGCCACCCAACUAAGGCCAUUGAAACAUGCAGUACCACUGCCAGGGACACGUGUGUAUGCGCCAUUCAGACCCAGCAGGAGUCCCUCCAGCUAUCCACCCACAGUAUCCCUCGUUGGUCCCAACUAUUCUCUUGGGGUCAACUGCUGUAGGUGGCUGUGGGUUGGCCUCUUAUUCCCAGAUUCACUUCAUUUGAAGGACCUUGUUGGGCAUCUCUGAGGGGAAUGUUCAGCGGCAGACACAGCCGGUGUGAGGCCGUCUGUGCUCCCAGAGACUCACCUCGCCAGUCAGGGUGGUUUCUGGGUGGAGGUCGUGGAGCUGGGGUGGGCGGGGUGCUGUGUGACGCCCUGGGGCAGGCCUGCACCUGAGCCCCCUAUAGCCUGCUCAUUUGCUCUGCGUUCUUGGCAUAAAUGAGAGCGAUGAUAGCCACAUCAGAGUUGCCAGGAGGCUUAAAGAAGCUGAUGAUGCAUACAGAAGCAUCUGGAAUGGCGGAGGUGCUGGUCAGUGUUCUCCCUCUCUUUCCUCUAUGCCAUUGACUCAGCGUGGGUGGGAGUGUCACUGAGCCAAGUUUAGGUGGAGGGGAGAAAGGUGGGCAUGUGGGAGCGGAAGGACUGCUGGCCCACUUGCGUUCUGUGGCCGUCUGGCAUGUGGACAGCAGGCACGCUCCCUGCAGCACAGAGGGGAGGCGGUUCUGGGACUCUGCCCCUGGCCUUGGGUAAGUCCCGGCAGUGGCAGCCACUUUCCGGUUGACCCUGGGCUCGGACUUGGGAAGGACUCAGCUUUCCUGGUGAAGGUUCUGCACAGGCUCCUGCUUCACUCCUGCAGCCAGCCUGGGCACAGCCCAGGGGAGGCAGGACUCCUUCAAGGGCAGGGCAGUUCCGUUGUAUCAUCUGAAAUCAAGCAGUGUAAGCCUGGAGUAGUUUAUUGGCUGAUAACUAAUGGGCUACUGGUGGGUAAAGGUUUUUUGUACGUGGAAGCUAAGAAGUUGGUCCCAGGGGUUGGCACGUGACCUGGUAGUGUUGGUUCUCACAUUUGCCCAACACCUUUCCAGGAGAGUGCGCUGGCGGGAAGGGAGUGCGGUCACUUCGCUGACCUGCAAACACCAACUGUGGGUGCCUCAGGCUCUUGCUCAAGAAUUUUCCCAGGCUCAGUGCAUUUGUAAGUUUGCAAAAAUAAUAACACAGCUGACUCUCAUCGCUUAGCCUCUAAACAAGACGAAGCUUCAUGGUUUGUUCCCUGGUGAGGAAAAAAGAGAGAUCAUCUAGAAUCUGGCCAGACCAUCUGGGUGACGUUUCUCAGCACUUACAUCUGCUGUGUAGUCCCUCUGACUUUCAGACUCAUCUCAUUCCUUUGAAUCACAGAUGCUCCUCAUGUUAUUUCUGGCAAAUUUCUAACCAUCACACUGGCUUUCCUUUCAUGGUCCAGGAACUCAGUGUCGAUCCCUGAGGCUGAUGUUCUGCUCUGGGCUCUGACUUUGCCUGUGCUCUAGAGGUGCAGCAGUCACCAUGGAUCUACCCCCUCUCCUGGGGUGAUGGGGUGCACUGUCUCUGGGGUAGAAUGCCUUAUGUCUGUUUGCUUUCCCUGGGACCCACCAGUGGCCAGGUGGGGAGCCCAUUCUGGCUUUCUGAAGGGGUGUCAUUGUCCUGACAUUGGCCACUGUCUUGCUGAUGGGUUUCAGCCCCAGACAAGUUCACUAUGGAUUCAAUGAGACCAAAUAAAUGACAAUGGAACACUCUUGGGGUGAAAGGGUUUAUAUCCAACUUUAUUCCCACGGUGGCAGGUCAAUCACUAGAAUCCCGUCCACUCAGGGCGAGUCUGCAUGCGGCAAGCCAGUCUCUGCCUCUGGGCCUCUCUUUCCCCACAGCCGUCUCAGUCUCUGCCUCAGCACUGCCACAACUCCAGUGUCUGCUCUCCUGCAGCCUUGCAGCCCUGCAGCAGCUAUGCCACCGUGCACGCAGAGCACAGGGAGGAGCUCUAGAGUCAAUAACAGUGUACUGCCCACACCUGUGUAGUGAGCUAGCCAACCAGGGCCAGAAGGUGAUGACCUAUCUAUGGACAGGACGACCCCAGUGUUGAACUCCAGGUGCUGUACAAGGGCGUGCGUCGUCCUCCUGAGGAAACCAGGUUUUGCACAGCCAAACGGAAUGGAAGGUCAGCACGAAGGAGGAAAACACCCGUGAUUUUCUCUUGUAAGAAGCGGGAGGAUGCUUGGCUGCCCACUGGUUGUUAGAAGGAGAAGAGCUCACCCUGCUGGGACUCACUCGAAGCUGGCUGCAGACCAGAGGCUGUCCGUGGGCCUUGGGGGCCCACCCAGGGACACUGGUCAUCCAGGGAAAUUGGAGAGAAUGAAGAAAUUUGUCUUUUUUCUGAUUAUCACCAAGACCUUCAACAGUUCUGCAUUUGGAAGCUGCUCAGGUCCAGGACUCCGGGGUUUCCCAGAGAACAAGACACACGGACACGGAGAU